AGGGGUAUCGCCUAGUGGUCAGGGCAGAGGACUUUGACUCCUCCAUCGUUGGUUCGAAUCCAGCUACCCCUGCCA
rnacentral:tRNA from 1 species